GGGAUAGAAGCUCAGUGGUUGAGCAAUCGAUUGCAGCGUUAUGAUCACGUUAUCGAUAGGCCGCGUGUUCGAUCCACGCCUGUCCCU
rnacentral:tRNA from 1 species